ensembl:lncRNA
GAAUGUUUUUCUUGCUGAUCUGUGAAGACCCCAGAAGACUGUAGCGAUCCGUUUUCAUGAACAUGAGGCAUCAGUUCCUGCUAUCUUGGCAAAAGUCCAAGAUGCUAUUGGAUCAGAAGAUGGUAUGAUACUGACUGAUGGCCAGGGGAAUGAAAUUCUCCAUACAGAGGGAACAAAAGAUAACUGCAAAAGAUGAGAUUGACUACAAGCUGUUUUAAAAAAUCUAAGAAAAACACAAUGAAAACAACAGUAAGGUCAGAGAAAUGUAAUACCAGUUGAUAAAAAAAAAGUUCUAUACACCUAAACAAUAUAAAUAUGAUUUUAAAAAUUUGUGAAAUAAAGGGUUUAAUUCACAUAAAAAUAUGAUACACAUUAAAAUGACCUGAAUUUUUCUGACCCUCAAAAAGUUAAAGAAAAAUGAUCAGGUUCCGAUUGAUGAAGCCUUGAUAGAGGGCAAAAAGCACAUUGAAAGCAGCUUGUUUUGGUGUCUGCAUUUUAGAAGUGUUGUUUUCCUAUUAUAAAAUCUUGACAUAAUUCAUCUUUUAAAAUACAAAUGAUUUCCCCAGGAUCAGCUUACUGGAAACAAAAUUCUAGGAAGGUUUUUGCUGUGCCUGAACAACAGUUCUUGGAUAUGAGAUCCAAAAGGAGAAGAUUAAGCCAACGGGAUGAUGACAGCCAGCUACCAGAGGUCUUAGAAAGAACUGAAGAGGUGGUGUUGGCAUCCCAAAAACUGCCAGAGGUUGCACAGGCCAUCAGAGGCUUAUCUGAGCUGACGCUGGCACGCAGACGUUUUAUUACAUUCACGGACGAAGAACGUGCAGCUAUUAAAAAUGCAUUUGCUUGCAUACUUUGCAAAGGUUUGUUAACAAGAUAAUUUAGUCUCUAUAAGAUUUGUUGAUAGCCAGGAUAGUAUUUUGUGAAUUAAACUGUAAUACUUUCCUCUCUUCUCUCUGGAUUAAGAUCCUAGAAAUAUGAUGAAAAAACUAACAAGCAAUUUUCUUUAUUUUAAAUUUCUAGGGCCCAUGAAUGAUCCUGUUUUUGCAGUUUGCUGUCAGAGUCUCAUUGCAUGCAAAGUGUGCUUUGAGCAGUGGCAGUGAAAUGCCAACACCUGUGUGAAAUGCAGAGGAGACAACUCAAGGGAAAACACCUACAGAGUCCCAGGAAUUGAUGGUGCAUUGUCUGCUUUUGGUGAUCUUAUCAAAGAUUAAAUACAGUGGGAAAGAAAAGCUGUAUACCUGUUACAAGUGUCACACGUUAAGAAGUUUCAUGGCACUACUACGGCAGCUCUUUAUUAGUUACUGGUGUUUGUUACACGUUAAGAGUAAAUAUACUCUUGAAUAUACAGUAAAAAAAGUUAUUACUGUUCAGUUAUUGACUUAAAAGUGAGAAGCACUACAGGCAGCACUUUUUCUGCUUUAAUCAGAGUAAUUAUAUACAUUAUAUACAAUGUAAGUUAUAUACCAAAUAUCACUGUUUAAGUGUCAAGUUCAACUUUUGAAGUAAAAUGCAGCACUGGAUAACACUUUAUUAAAGCUUUAAUGUGACAGUUUUAUACCUCAAAUUACAGCAUUGUUUUAAUACAAUUGAUAAUGCCUAUGUUUAAAAGACUUGCUGUUUAUUUUUGUACUUUGUACAAUUAUUGUACACAGAAAUAUGUAAUAAAUGUUAGUUUUAUGAUGAAUGUCUUGUUCCU